GUGCUGAUUACGACGAGGAUCCACCUGUUCCCAUUCCGAACACAGUAGUUAAGCUCGUUCGUGCCGACAAUACUUGGAGGGCAGCCUCCCGGAAAGAUAGGUCGGUGCC
rnacentral:rRNA from 1 species